rnacentral:rRNA from 1 species
GAUGAACGCUGGCGGCGUGCCUAACACAUGCAAGUCGAGCGAUUCUCUUCGGAGAAGAGCGGCGGACGGGUGAGUAACGCGUGGGUAACCUGCCCUGUACACACGGAUAACAUACCGAAAGGUAUGCUAAUACGAGAUAACAUAAGAAAAUCGCAUGUUUUUCUUAUCAAAGCUCCGGCGGUACAGGAUGGACCCGCGUCUGAUUAGCUAGUUGGUGAGGUAAUGGCUCACCAAGGCGACGAUCAGUAGCCGACCUGAGAGGGUGAUCGGCCACAUUGGAACUGAGACACGGUCCAAACUCCUACGGGAGGCAGCAGUGGGGAAUAUUGCACAAUGGGCGAAAGCCUGAUGCAGCAACGCCGCGUGAGCGAUGAAGGCCUUCGGGUCGUAAAGCUCUGUCCUCAAGGAAGAUAAUGACGGUACUUGAGGAGGAAGCCCCGGCUAACUACGUGCCAGCCGCCGCCGUAAAAC